rnacentral:siRNA from 1 species
CCGGUGCUUAGGUAUCUCCACC